rnacentral:rRNA from 1 species
CAAUAGCGUAUAUUAAAGUUGUUGCAGUUAAAAAGCUCGUAGUUGGAUUCCUGGCAGGAGCGACCGGUCACACACUCUGUGUGUGAACUUGCGUUGUCUCUGGCCAUCCUUGGGAAGAUCCUGUUUGGCAUUAAGUUGUCGGGCAGGGGAUACCCAUCGUUUACUGUGAAAAAAUUAGAGUGUUUAAAGCAGGCUUAUGCCGUUGAAUAUAUUAGCAUGGAAUAAUAAGAUAGGACUUCGGAACUAUUUUGUUGGUUUGCGUUACGAAGUAAUGAUUAAUAGGGACAGUUGGGGGUAUUCGUAUUUCGUUGUCAGAGGUGAAAUUCUUGGAUUUCCGAAAGACGAACUACUGCGAAAGCAUUUACCAAGGAUGUUUUCAUUAA